AGAGUUUGAUCAUGGCUCAGGACAAACGCUGGCGGCGUGCCUAACACAUGCAAGUCGAACGAGAAGCCGACCUUUUUUCCUUUCGGGGAGAGAAGGUUGGCCGAGAGUGGCGAACGGGUGAGUAACGCGUGGGUAAUCUACCCUGUAGCGGGGGAUAACCCUCCGAAAGGAGGGCUAAUACCGCAUAAUGUCUUCUCCUCAUAAGAGGUAAAGAUCAAAGAUAGCCUCUGUAUAUGCUAUCACUUCAGGAUGAGCCUGCGUCCUAUUAGUUAGUUGGCAGGGUAAUGGCCUACCAAGACUACAAUGGGUAGCCGGUCUGAGAGGAUGUACGGCCACACUGGGACUGAGAUACGGCCCAGACUCCUACGGGAGGCAACAGUGGGGAAUCUUGCGCAAUGGGGGAAACCCUGACGCAGCGACGCCGCGUGGAUGAUGAAGGCCUUCGGGUUGUAAAGUCCUGUUUUGGGGGAAGAAAAAUUAAGGGUUUAAUAAACCCUUGAACUGACGGUACCUCAAGAGAAAGCUCCGGCUAAUUAUGUGCCAGCAGCCGCGGUAAUACAUAAGGAGCAAGCGUUGUCCGGAAUUAUUGGGCGUAAAGAGCUCGUAGCGGUCUUAAAAGUCAGGUGUGAAAUUAUCAGGCUUAACUUGAUACGGUCAUCUGAAACUUUAGACUUGAGGUUAGAAGAGGAAAGCGGAAUUCCCGGUGUAGCGUGAAAUGCGUAGAUAUCGGGAGGAACACAGUGCGAGCGCUUUCUGUCUAUCUCUGACGCUGAUGA
rnacentral:rRNA from 1 species